UCCCUGGUGGCUCAGAUGGUAAAGCAUCUGCCUGCAAUGAGGGAGACCCAGGUUCGAUUCCUGGGUUGGGAA
rnacentral:tRNA from 1 species